CGUAGGAACCUACCCCGUCGGAGGGAAUAACCCCGCGAAAGCGGGGCUAAUACCCAAAAUGAUUCGCAAGAAUCAGAGUCGAAAGGCCUGACGGGAGGGGCCUGCGGCCCAUCAGCUAGUUGGUAGGGUAAUGGCCUACCAAGGCUACGACGGGUAGGGGGUCUGAGAGGACGGCCCCCCACACUGGAACUGAAACACGGUCCAGACGCCUACGGGUGGCAGCAGGGAGGAAUAUUGGACAAUGGAGGAAACUCCGAUCCAGCGACGCCGCGUGAGGGAUGAAGGCCUUCGGGUUGUAAACCUCUUUUCGGGGAGACGAGCAAGGACGGUAUCCCCGGAAUAAGCCACGGCUAACUACGUGCCAGCAGCCGCGGUAAUACGUAGGUGGCGAGCGUUAUCCGGAUUUACUGGGCGUAAAGCGCUUGUAGGUGGCUUUGUAAGUUGGGCGUGAAAGCUCCUGGCUUAACCAGGAGAGGCCGUCCAAUACUGCAAGGCUAGAGGGUGCCAGAGGGAGAUGGAAUUCCUGGUGUAGUAGUGAAAUGCGUAGAUAUCAGGAGGAACACCGGUGGCGAAGGCGGUCUCCUGGGGCAUUCCUGACACUGAGAAGCGAAAGCUAGGGGAGCGAACAGGAUUAGAUACCCUGGUAGUCCUAGCCGUAAACGAUGGAUGCUAGGCGUUGGAGCUUCAAACCCUUCAGCGCCGAAGCUAACGCGUUAAGCAUCCCGCCUGGG
rnacentral:rRNA from 1 species